UACGAAGGACCCGAGCGUUAUCCGGAUUCAUUGGGUUUAAAGGGUGCGUAGGCGGAUUGAUAAGUCAGUGGUGAAAUCCUGCAGCUUAACUGCAGAACUGCCAUUGAUACUGUCGAUCUUGAGUACAUUUGAAGUGGGCGGAAUGUGUCAUGUAGCGGUGAAAUGCUUAGAUAUGACACAGAACACCGAUUGCGAAGGCAGCCCCCUGGGUCAAGAUUGACGCUCAUGCACGAAAGCGUGGGGAGCAAACAGG
rnacentral:rRNA from 1 species